rnacentral:lncRNA from 1 species
AUGCAACCCCUCUCACUGAAACUUCCCCUCUUUCGUAUUCCCCUCUCUCAGCUAACCCUAACCCUCUUCUCAUUCUCACUGAAACCUUUCUUCUCAAUUUCACCGCAAACCCUUUUCUCAUUCUCACUGAAACCCUUCUUCUCAAUCUCACCGCUAACGUUCUCACUCUCACUGUUCUCAGCCUCACCGCAAACCAUAUCACCCUUCUCACUCUUCUCACAAUGUUUGGCCGCCAUU